UAGUCCACGCCGUAAACGAUGUCUACUAGCCGUUGGGGGGCUUGACCCUUUAGUGGCGCAGCUAACGCGAUAAGUAGACCGCCUGGGGAGUACGGUCGCAAGAUUAAAACUCAAAUGAAUUGACGGGGGCCCGCACAAGCGGUGGAGCAUGUGGUUUAAUUCGAUGCAACGCGAAAAACCUUACCAGGCCUUGACAUCCUGAGAACUUUCUAGAGAUAGAUUGGUGCCUUCGGGAACUCAGUGACAGGUGUUGCAUGGCUGUCGUCAGCUCGUGUCGUGAGAUGUUGGGUUAAGUCCCGUAACGAGCGCAACCCUUAUCCUUACUUGCCAGCACUUCGGGUGGGAACUUUAAGGAGACUGCCGGUGACAAACCGGAGGAAGGAGAGGGAUGAUGUCAAGUCAUCAUGGCCCUUACGGGCCUGGGGCUACACACGUGCUACAAUGGACAGUACAGA
rnacentral:rRNA from 1 species